UGAGCUACUUCCAUCCUACCCUGCCCUUCCUGGAAAAGAUAAAUGAAUCAUUUCCAGGUUUGGAGGUUGCUGUGCAUCCACAGUAGCAGAGGGGGCAUUGCCGAACAGUUGGCGUUCCUUUCUAGUAGUUUCGGGGUUUAUUAUUCAAUUUUGCAUUAGCCUGACUUGCGUGUAUUACAUUUCUUUUUCCCAGGUGUCUACUAACUUCUGGAACAUGGCAGAGAAGAAAUGGGCCAGUUUAUUUACAGGAUUUGAUUGGGAGGAUGGUUGCCAACUACACCCUUUCUCCUAACAGAAGGAUAAGAAACAGGUGUUUCGAAAGUUGAACAUGAUGGAACAUAACUUUGGGUGUUAGCAGUAACAGUCUUUGGAAUCACCUGUAGCUAUGACCCAAAACAUGACAGCAUGUUGCAAAACCUCUAGUGCCCAUGGCCAUAAGGGAGAAAGAGCACCAGACCAUCUGAAUAACAGUGAAAGUGGACACAGGAAACACCAGACAACCAGAGAAAUGGAGUCCAAAUGUGAGUAUUUCAUUUCAUUCUUUUGAACAUGAAAUAUUUUUUUUUCUCUGAAGUAAAUGAGAAUUCUUAAGAAACAAACAAACAAACAAAAACUCCCUACUCAUGACAUUAUUCUGUUUAUUAGUAGAAUGUACAUUCCGUGAAGACACAGAUCUUAUCUAUCUUGUUCAGUGACACUCAGCAUGAUCUUAAUAAGCAUUUGAUGGAUGAAUAGGAUUUUUUAGUUAACAGGGCCACUGUGGGGUGUCUUGGAAGCUGCAAUAGAAUAGAGAUCCUAAAAUCCGGUUCUUAUUCUGGUUCUGCCAUCCUGGAUAUUUGGAAAGGAAUAAUCUUUUUAAGCCUCAGUGAGAAGCAGACAGUGUCUCAUUUAGUUAAGGUUGUUUUGAGAUGAAGUGAGACAAUGUAGGUGAAAAAAGCUGGUAAAGAGAAGGUGUCUAAGGAUGUUCAGUUUUUGUAUUUUAUGUGAAUACAACAUUUCAGAAAAUAAAAGGUAUACUCAAUGCCAUUUUGAACCCUGGUUUAAGGAACAGAGAAUUCAGUGCAAAAUAAAAUAUUUGGUAAGCCAUAAAACCUUUCAGGUUCUUUUUCUUUUACCUGACCAACUGUAAUAAAUAUUGGAGUUCCAUGAUCCGUGGCCUCUUUUCACACCCUAACUGUCUCCGUGGGUGAUCACCUCUACCCCAUUAAAUUCCAAAUUAACCUUCUUCCUCAAAUGCUUUUGCAUUGCGCUACAUCCUCUCUUCCUUUUUGCUUAAGCCUAUCCUCUUGUUUUCUUAUUUUAUUUUACCUUAAUUGUCUUGUCUUAAAGAAAGCUUUCCUGACCUUGCUAGGCUAGAUUCCUAUGGUCCCUGCAUUCAGGCAUAUAAUAACUCUUUGCUAUAUGUCUAUCUCACCUGCUUGGUGGGACAUUAUGAAGGCACAGACAGAGGGUUUGUUCUUUCCUAUAUGCCCAGUAGUACCCAUGCAUUGUUUAGAACAUGGUAAGUGCUCAGUAAUAUUCUUGGGCCAAUACUUGAGUAGAUAAAAUACAAUUCAUUUUUAAAAUUUAUACUGAAUUGUUUUUCUGUUAGAAUUAAGUUUUUAAAAUAAUUCAAUGUUAAUGAAACUAUUUUGCCUUAUGGAUCUAUUUUUACUUCUUAUAUACCUCCCUUUAAUCAAUAGUACUCAAUAUCUACAUAUUUAAAAUUUUCAUUAAAUAUGAAAAUACAAAGCUUGAUAUCUGCCAUGAAAAUCGCAAAAUAAUUACUUCUUUAGAACUCAUAUCUGUCUUAGUGAAAUUGCUCAGUGGUGAAAUCUUAUCAAGGCAGUAGUGACAGUGGAAAAGAGAAAGGACCCAGAUUCUCAGUCUAGGAUCUGACUCAGAAUGAUGUUGAGCAAUUCACUUGCCACCUUUGAGCUUCUUUCUUUAUUGGAAAAAAAAAAAAAAAA